AACACCAUUCCGGAGUCGUCUACAUAAAUGUCAAACUCCGGUCAACUCUUACCGUUUAAGCUUCUAAAACAAGAAUCCUUCUUCCAAUUUGAUCCCGAAUCAUUCGAAAACCGAGCCCUGCCACACAUGCAAGCCAUAAUACAUAUUAGGGAGUUGUUCGAACGGUACGCUAAUUCUCAAAACGACCGGUCGGGUCGUUACAACACAUGUCAGGUCUUGGUUGUGAAAAAAUAAAUUCUGGAAAUAUUGGGAUGUUUCUCAACAGUUCCAGUAUAUACAUGUUCCUCGCCAUCAACGCUUCUGCUUCCAUACCUGAUUCAGAAGUAAGUCCUUUGAAAUUCUUUGCUAUUUGUGUCACUAUUGAGUUUAUGGUACUAAUUGACUGCUUGGACUUGCAAGAAAUGGAGAACUUCGUAAAUUUUCUGACUAAGCUGGGAUUUAUGAAUUAUGCUACCACUGUCUACUCUUCAGUCUCCACUGAUAAUUGCUGCAUCAGCUGUCUAUGCUGGUCAACACACACCAUUGGGACAAUUUUGGAGUCAUAACUUUUCUCCCAAUGGGUUUUCUAUGUUAUUCUUACAGAUGUUUUAAUUGAUCCUAACUAAUUAGAUUUAGACAUAAUAUUGUUUGAUUGACUCUACAACAGAUUGUCUGCAUCAUGAAUGGCCUGCGUUGAUCUUUAUUAGUCAUGUUCUAUUCCCGUUAUUGUGAAUCGGUAUUCUAAAGACAGAGUGUACUUGCAUCUUUUGCUCAACUUUUUUAGUCAUUGCAUCGGGCUUCUCUCUCCUAAUUCAGUGGAAUUUGUCCAUUUUUGAAGAAUCUAAAAAUGUAAAGCAAUUAUAUUCUUUGAAAUUGUUUAUGUAUUUUUAUGCCAAAUCUUAUACUAAAAUUUUUGCAAUUAUCAAUGCUAAAUCAUAGUUAUGCCAGCGGAUCUGGCCAAAAAUAAAUUACAGCUUACCAUGAGGUGAAUGGAUGUUGGGACCUAUUUGCUUCUAUUGGUGCAACUAUUUGUAUUAUUCAAUGACUGCAUAACUGGCGUAGCGCUUAUAGGAACAAAUUCUCAAUCAAGCAUCAUAAUUUGAACUUAUGCGGACUCUAUCCUUUGGAAGCUCACUUGGUGCGCCGAUGUCUAUUGUCGUCUUGGUUUCUUUUGCGAAGAUAUGCCAUUCAUCAUCAAAAUCUGCAACAUUAUAUUAUAGGUCCUUUUUAAAAUAAUUUAUACAUAGUUUCUAGAUAAGUGAAUUAAUUCGAUCCUGAAAUAAUAAAAGAAUUGAAGUAAUAUAUAAUACUUAGUCUUGAGAUGAAGAUGAAAUAGCAGAAAUAGUAAUUCCGGGAACGAGGCUUCCGGGCACAACAGUAAUGAAAUCAAAAUGUAAGAGGAUAAAAUUGUAUAGAGCUUUGAACAUAUUAUAGCGUAAGUUUGCUAGAAAA